rnacentral:rRNA from 2 species
GAUGUGAAAUCCCCGGGCUCAACCUGGGAACUGCAUUCGAAACUGGCAGGCUAGAGUCUUGUAGAGGGGGGUAGAAUUCCAGGUGUAGCGGUGAAAUGCGUAGAGAUCUGGAGGAAUACCGGUGGCGAAGGCGGCCCCCUGGACAAAGACUGACGCUCAGGUGCGAAAGCGUGGGGAGCAAACAGGAUUAGAUACCCUGGUAGUCCACGCCGUAAACGAUGUCGAUUUGGAGGUUGUGCCCUUGAGGCGUGGCUUCCGGAGCUAACGCGUUAAAUCGACCGCCUGGGGAGUACGGCCGCAAGGUUAAAACUCAAAUGAAUUGACGGGGGCCCGCACAAGCGGUGGAGCAUGUGGUUUAAUUCGAUGCAACGCGAAGAACCUUACCUG